rnacentral:rRNA from 1 species
UAAUGGGUCAGCGACUUAUAUUCUGUAGCAAGGUUAACCGAAUAGGGGAGCCGAAGGGAAACCGAGUCUUAACUGGGCGUUAAGUUGCAGGGUAUAGACCCGAAACCCGGUGAUCUAGCCAUGGGCAGGUUGAAGGUUGGGUAACACUAACUGGAGGACCGAACCGACUAAUGUUGAAAAAUUAGCGGAUGACUUGUGGCUGGGGGUGAAAGGCCAAUCAAACCGGGAGAUAGCUGGUUCUCCCCGAAAGCUAUUUAGGUAGCGCCUCGUGAAUUCAUCUCCGGGGGUAGAGCACUGUUUCGGCAAGGGGGUCAUCCCGACUUACCAACCCGAUGCAAACUGCGAAUACCGGAGAAUGUUAUCACGGGAGACACACGGCGGGUGCUAACGUCCGUCGUGAAGAGGGAAACAACCCAGACCGCCAGCUAAGGUCCCAAAGUCAUGGUUAAGUGGGAAACGAUGUGGGAAGGCCCAGACAGCCAGGAUGUUGGCUUAGAAGCAGCCAUCAUUUAAAGAAAGCGUAAUAGCUCACUGGUCGAGUCGGCCUGCGCGGAAGAUGUAACGGGGCUAAACCAUGCACCGAAGCUGCGGCAGCGACACUAUGUGUUGUUGGGUAGGGGAGCGUUCUGUAAGCCUGUGAAGGUGUGCUGUGAGGCAUGCUGGAGGUAUCAGAAGUGCGAAUGCUGACAUAAGUAACGAUAAAGCGGGUGAAAAGCCCGCUCGCCGGAAGACCAAGGGUUCCUGUCCAACGUUAAUCGGGGCAGGGUGAGUCGACCCCUAAGGCGAGGCCGAAAGGCGUAGUCGAUGGGAAACAGGUUAAUAUUCCUGUACUUGGUGUUACUGCGAAGGGGGGACGGAGAAGGCUAUGUUGGCCGGGCGACGGUUGUCCCGGUUUAAGCGUGUAGGCUGGUUUUCCAGGCAAAUCCGGAAAAUCAAGGCUGAGGCGUGAUGACGAGGCACUACGGUGCUGAAGCAACAAAUGCCCUGCUUCCAGGAAAAGCCUCUAAGCAUCAGGUAACAUCAAAUCGUACCCCAAACCGACACAGGUGGUCAGGUAGAGAAUACCAAGGCGCUUGAGAGAACUCGGGUGAAGGAACUAGGCAAAAUGGUGCCGUAACUUCGGGAGAAGGCACGCUGAUAUGUAGGUGAAGUCCCUCGCGGAUGGAGCUGAAAUCAGUCGAAGAUACCAGCUGGCUGCAACUGUUUAUUAAAAACACAGCACUGUGCAAACACGAAAGUGGACGUAUACGGUGUGACGCCUGCCCGGUGCCGGAAGGUUAAUUGAUGGGGUCAGCGCAAGCGAAGCUCUUGAUCGAAGCCCCGGUAAACGGCGGCCGUAACUAUAACGGUCCUAAGGUAGCGAAAUUCCUUGUCGGGUAAGUUCCGACCUGCACGAAUGGCGUAAUGAUGGCCAGGCUGUCUCCACCCGAGACUCAGUGAAAUUGAACUCGCUGUGAAGAUGCAGUGUACCCGCGGCAAGACGGAAAGACCCCGUGAACCUUUACUAUAGCUUGACACUGAACAUUGAGCCUUGAUGUGUAGGAUAGGUGGGAGGCUUUGAAGUGUGGACGCCAGUCUGCAUGGAGCCGACCUUGAAAUACCACCCUUUAAUGUUUGAUGUUCUAACGUGGACCCGUGAUCCGGGUUGCGGACAGUGUCUGGUGGGUAGUUUGACUGGGGCGGUCUCCUCCUAAAGAGUAACGGAGGAGCACGAAGGUUGGCUAAUCCUGGUCGGACAUCAGGAGGUUAGUGCAAUGGCAUAAGCCAGCUUGACUGCGAGCGUGACGGCGCGAGCAGGUGCGAAAGCAGGUCAUAGUGAUCCGGUGGUUCUGAAUGGAAGGGCCAUCGCUCAACGGAUAAAAGGUACUCCGGGGAUAACAGGCUGAUACCGCCCAAGAGUUCAUAUCGACGGCGGUGUUUGGCACCUCGAUGUCGGCUCAUCACAUCCUGGGGCUGAAGUAGGUCCCAAGGGUAUGGCUGUUCGCCAUUUAAAGUGGUACGCGAGCUGGGUUUAGAACGUCGUGAGACAGUUCGGUCCCUAUCUGCCGUGGGCGCUGGAGAACUGAGGGGGGCUGCUCCUAGUACGAGAGGACCGGAGUGGACGCAUCACUGGUGUUCGGGUUGUCAUGCCAAUGGCACUGCCCGGUAGCUAAAUGCGGAAGAGAUAAGUGCUGAAAGCAUCUAAGCACGAAACUUGCCCCGAGAUGAGUUCUCCCUGACCCUUUAAGGGUCCUGAAGGAACGUUGAAGACGACGACGUUGAUAGGCCGGGUGUGUAAGCGCAGCGAUGCGUUGAGCUAACCGGUACUAAUGAACCGUGAGG